rnacentral:rRNA from 1 species
AACCCUGAUCCAGCCAUGCCGCGUGAGUGAAGAAGGCCUUCGGGUUGUAAAGCUCUUUCAGCCGGAACGAAACGGUCACGGCUAAUACCUGUGACUACUGACGGUACCGGAAGAAGAAGCACCGGCUAACUACGUGCCAGCAGCCGCGGUAA